rnacentral:tRNA from 1 species
GCCGGAGUGGUGGAAUUGGCAGACACAAGGGACUUAAAAUCCCUCGGAGCGAAAACUCCAUGCCGGUUCAAGUCCGGCCUCCGGCA